rnacentral:ncRNA from 2 species
GGUUGGGCGGCUGGCGCCGCUUUCAAGAAUCGGCUUCAAGGGUGGGAAGUC